UGCCAGGUGGCUCAGUGGUAAAGAGUCUGCCUGCCAAGCAGGAGACACUGGUUUAAGCCCUGACUUGGGAA
rnacentral:tRNA from 1 species